rnacentral:lncRNA from 1 species
UAGGAUCUGAAUCUGGGUUCACCUUCUUUUGCAUCUAUGGGAAUGAUAGUCUACCUUGUUUUAUUUGACUUUCUUCAAAUUGAAGCCUUCUUCUAAAGCAAACUCAUGGAGGAUGUCUGCAGGCAGAAGGUGGCUGAAGAAGCUCUUCUCCCAGUCCACUUCCAGGAAAGACACUUUAUUCAUCUGAACAGCCUUUACUCAGAAAUAGGAAUUG